CGCGCCUAACACAUGCAAGUCGAACGGAGAUCAUUUGGUAGAAGUUUUCGGAUGGACACUGAGUGAUCUUAGUGGCGAACGGGUGAGUAACGCGUGAGCAAUCUGCCUCAGAGUGGGGGACAACAGUUGGAAACGACUGCUAAUACCGCAUAAGCCCACAGCACCGCAUGGUGCCGGGGGAAAAGAUUUAUUGCUUUGAGAUGAGCUCGCGUCCAAUUAGCUAGUUGGUGAGGUAACGGCCCACCAAGGCGACGAUUGGUAGCCGGACUGAGAGGUUGAACGGCCACAUUGGGACUGAGAUACGGCCCAGACUCCUACGGGAGGCAGCAGUGGGGAAUAUUGCACAAUGGGGGGAACCCUGAUGCAGCGACGCCGCGUGGAGGAAGAAGGUCUUCGGAUUGUAAACUCCUGUUGUUAGGGACGAUAAUGACGGUACCUAACAAGGAAGCACCGGCUAACUACGUGCCAGCCGCCGCAGUAA
rnacentral:rRNA from 1 species